ensembl:lncRNA
AACAAAAGGAUCUGCCCCUAUUCCCUGCCCCCGGGAAAAAACCUUCAAAUAAUCUGUUCCCAGUGAUCAUAACACACACUUCAAAUUUGGUUGCUAAGUGCGCAGAAAUUGUGCGUUUAAAUCCAAACAGACACACAUACACGCACACACACACACACACACACGCACAACCACGUGCAUGUUUGUCCGAUCUGCCUUGAGAAUACAUUAAGAUGAUAUUGCAUUUUCAGCUCCUAUUAUUUCUUCCGGCACUUUAGUUUUGCACAUAGGGGCCUGUUUUUGCUGACUGACGCACUUUUCAGCAGUUAUAAAUUAGCCUUUCGCUGCGUAGCCAUGACAACCAGGCAUCUCCCUCUGUGUAAGCAUUCGUUUACUACAUAGGACCAUUUACAGUGCGCAUACUUUUAUACAAUAAAAGUUUCUGUGUUCAUUGUGAAUAAACCUAUAUUUGAAUUUGGUCCAAAAAGAACAACAAAUAUUUAAACUGUUAUUAGGAAAUAAACCAGAUUAUUAUGUGAUUUACGAUAUAAAGCUCAACGAAUCUUCCACACUCACCGACUCUUUCCUCAGAUGAGAGGACAAUGUUCAGCGUGAGUGUGUGUGUGUGUGUGUGUGUUUCUCUCAGCCCUGAAGAAGAGAAGAGGCCUUGUCUCGUUCCAUUAGUGACCCGAGCUGCAGCAGCAGCAGCGAUCCGCGCUGGUUAGACGUCUAGAACUAAAACACAUUUAAAGGGAUCGUUUUGGGACGUUUUUGUAUGUUUAAUAGGGACAUGUGAGAAGAUCAUUACCUCUUUCUCUCAGCAAGGAGGCAAAUAAAAACCCUCCCAAAAUGUUGGCCUGUGUGAGGAGAUUUACUAUUUUUCACAUUCUGGAGUCUUUUCUUACUGAUGGCUGACGUGCAGGAAAAAAAAUAAUGAAAUAUGUAUUUCCGAUGGUGCCAAAAAGUUUCUCUCCUUUUACAGGUCUACUUCUUUAUAUCAAUUGGUUUUUCAAUUACAAGUUUGUCCUGAAUUCACUCGAAAACUGUAUUGAAGCAAAAAUGAAAAAUCAGCAGCUGAGAUCCCAGGAAACAGAUGAGAGAAGAAACUGAAGCUGACGUUUGGAGAACAUGAGAGAAUACAGCAGUUUGUGAAAAGCUAAAAAGCCACCACUUACAAAACAUCAACAGGAGUAAUAUUAUAUUACUUUAUUUAUCUUUUGUACAAUGUAAUUACAAUACAAAUAUGUAGGUUUAAAUACAAAAAUUCUGUAAAUAAAGAUUAAAAAGAAAUCCCACUGGUUUGCUUUGUUCCCAUCACUAAACUAUGGUUUUACAAUCAAGUUCAUGAGGUCAUUCAGUUUGCUUUAACGCGGAACACAAUUAACCCACAUCUAGAACAGAGUCAGGCUAAAAUAUAUUUUCAAAGAAAUAAAAGCAUUGAUUUCAUGAGAGAACCGGAGGGCAAACUGAGACAUUCGGAUUUGGGUUUUUUUUUUUUUUUUGGAGGAAGAUUUUCUGAUUCGUCCGAAAACAACAAGAAAAAGACCCGAGAUGGUGGAUCAUCAUGUGGAUUUUUAGAAGGCAGCUUGUCGGCACGCUUCACAUCUCUGGUCCGAGUACAGGUGUCCCGUGAAGGUACCAGAGGAACCAGCCGCACGCAGAGAACAUUCCUGCUCUUUCUACGACUCAAGAGUUAAAACACAGAAAGCUUUGAGGGGCGUUAUUGAAGUUUUGACUACAUAGCGACUGGCGCACACUUAUGAGGGCUGCAAUUAUAUAAUAAGCAACGUAUUUGUUUAAAAUAGGUUGUGAAGUGUUUUAGGAGCUGAGGAACACGACGCUGAACGUGCCACUGUUCUCUCCUUCAGUCUUUUCUCGUUUUCCUUUCUCCAAACUUCCUCUUUCCUCAAAGGUGCGACUCCAUCCUCUCCUUUGGUUUCCCACAUACAGGUUAUCCCUCCUCCACUUUCCCUUCUGCUACUCCCCCGUUUUGUCUUUCCAUUACACUUCCUUAAAAAUAUCCUCCCCACAUCUCUUGCCUCUGCCAUCGAUCAGCUCACGCUCUCUUUUGUCCCCGUCAUCCGUAGCGCACACGUGGGACGCACAAUCACACUGUGCGUGAUGAGGCCGCCGCGGCCUGCGUUCCAACACGUUAAGAGGAUCGGGGGAAGUCGGAAUGUAGUGCAUCAGAAUUCCACAGUGCUGUGCCGUGUUUCCACGGAGUCGUUCGUUGUGACUGAAUUGUCCGGAGAAGAUGGUGGCGACGCCUCGCGGCCCCCGCCGUGUGAGCGCGUGUACGUGGGGGCCAAGAGGUGGAAGAAACACGCCGCUGUGUACACUUACAGUCUCACAUGUCCGCCACCCCCCCCCGAGGUCUUUUUGGUUCCUGUUACAGUUUCCCACAAUGCUUUGCUUCUACCUGACGGAUUCCCUCAUGUUUGCUGUUCAAAUAAAAUAAAUACAGGGGAUUUAAAAGAACUCGGUCCUGGAACACUUUUAAAAAAAAAAUCUUUGUUGAAAAUAAAAAUUACAAUAAAUAAAAUAAUUUGGCCAUAAAUCUCUACUAUUAGUCAGUAAGUUAUCUUGGGUUGGUAGAAUUGGGUCUUGCACUCACAGCUGGUCCCUUCGGGGGAUCCAAACUUUUAGCUGUUGAGCAUCCGUCUGAUCGUCAAUCAACCGCUUCUCAGCUUCUCAGCUUCUCAGCUUCUCAGCUUCUCAGCACCCCCUUCUGACGGAGCCACAUCUGCUAAACUCUCCACCCGCAAGCACAAACAUCUCAUGGGUUCGGAAUGCAUCUGAGCGGAGUCCCUUCACAAAGAAAGAAGUCACUGGCUUAAGCCCCUCCGCCACAACGUGCUCAUACAGUACAUCCAGGGACUCGCAGCGAGUGAAGUAAAGCAGCGUGAGUGAGCGGUGGAAGCAGGGGGGGGGGGGGACACCUGCUGGACGCCCUACAAAGCUCUCAUGGGAGUGUAAAGGAAGCAACUAAGAUCAUCUUAACACGCACUCCCAUGAGAGCUUGUAGCGAGCUGCUAGGCUACCACAGGUCCGACGCCUUCCUCAGGGUUUUAACUCCGGGGGGGGGGGGGGCAACGGGCCCUUUAUUUUAAUUCUUAAA